rnacentral:rRNA from 1 species
GCUAAUACCGCAUAACGUCGCAAGACCAAAGAGGGGGACCUUCGGGCCUCUUGCCAUCGGAUGUGCCCAGAUGGGAUUAGCUAGUAGGUGGGGUAACGGCUCACCUAGGCGACGAUCCCUAGCUGGUCUGAGAGGAUGACCAGCCACACUGGAACUGAGACACGGUCCAGACUCCUACGGGAGGCAGCAGUGGGGAAUAUCGCACAAUGGGCGCAAGCCUGAUGCAGCCAUGCCGCGUGUAUGAAGAAGGCCUUCGGGUUGUAAAGUACUUUCAGCGGGGAGGAAGGGAGUUAAGUUAAUACCUUUGCUCAUUGACGUUACCCGCAGAAGGAGCGCCGGCUAACUCCGUGCCAGCAGCCGCGGUAAUACGGAGGGUGCAAGCGUUAAUCGGAAUUACUGGGCGUAAAGCGCACGCAGGCGGUUUGUUAAGUCAGAUGUGAAAUCCCCGGGCUCAACCUGGGAACUGCAUCUGAUACUGGCAAGCUUGAGUCUCGUAGAGGGGGGUAGAAUUCCAGGUGUAGCGGUGAAAUGCGUAGAGAUCUGGAGGAAUACCGGUGGCGAAGGCGGCCCCCUGGACGAAGACUGACGCUCAGGUGCGAAAGCGUGGGGAGCAAACGGGAUUAGAUACCCUGGUAGUCCACGCCGUAAACGAUGUCGACUUGGAGGUUGUGCCCUUGAGGCGUGGCUUCCGGAGCUAACGCGUUAAGUCGACCGCCUAGGGAGUACGGCCGCAAGGUUAAAACUCAAAUGAAUUGACGGGGGCCCGCACAAGCGGUGGAGCAUGUGGUUUAAUUCGAUGCAACGCGAAGAACCUUACCUGGUCUUGACAUCCACGGAAGUUUUCAGAGAUGAGAAUGUGCCUUCGGGAACCGUGAGACAGGUGCUGCAUGGCUGUCGUCAGCUCGUGUUGUGAAAUGUUGGGUUAAGUCCCGCAACGAGCGCAACCCUUAUCCUUUGUUGCCAGCGGUCCGGCCGGGAACUCAAAGGAGACUGCCAGUGACAAACUGGAGGAAGGUGGGGAUGACGUCAAGUCAUCAUGGCCCUUACGACCAGGGCUACACACGUGCUACAAUGGCGCAUACAAAGAGAAGCGACCUCGCGAGAGCAAGCGGACCUCAUAAGUGCGUCGUAGUCCGGAUUGGAGUCUGCAACUCGACUCCAUGAAGUCGGAAUCGCUAGUAAUCGUGGAUCAGAAUGCCACGGUGAAUACGUUCCCGGGCCUUGUACACACCGCCCGUCACACCAUGGGAGUGGGUUGCAAAGGAAGUAGGUAGCUUAACCUUCGGGAGGGCGCUUACCACUUUGUGAUUCAUGACUGGGGUGAAGUCGUAACAGGGUA